rnacentral:rRNA from 1 species
AGCAGCCGCGGUAAUUCCAGCUCCAAUAGCGUAUAUUAAAGUUGUUGCAGUUAAAAAGCUCGUAGUUGAACUUCGGGGUUUACCCAUUGGUCAGGCUUAAUUGUCUGUACUGGUGAGCUGAAUCUCUACCUUCUGAGGAACUUUCAUGCCAUUUAUUUGGUGUGAUGGGAAAUCAGGACUGUUACUUUAGAAAAAUUAGAGUGUUUAAAGCAGGCUAACGUCUGAAUACAUUAGCAUGGAAUAAUGAAAUAGGACGGAUUGAUUCUAUUUCGUGGUUUCUAGGAUCACCGUAAUGAUUAAUAGGGAUAGUUGGGGGCAUUAGUAUUC